rnacentral:lncRNA from 1 species
AUUAACACCUUCAUUUAGAGUAGUUCUGCACCUUGGAGUAUUGAAAGGGUUAUUGCAUUUCUAAAGUAAGCUUACAUCCAGAAAGUUGCGUUAGUGACAAAGGAACUCAAGAAUUGCAUGAUAAAAAUCAUCAAGUAGUUUAAAAAUGUUUCAUGCCAGGGUGCACUCAACACCCUGACACCGGGCAGAGUGGUAGUGAAGCCCGCCAGGCUGCAGGAUAACACUGCUUACCUUCUUUACAGUUGCAACUGUCAGCUUUUCUUCUUGACACAGUGCUAUUCUUGUUGUCUUGACUAUAUCUGAGGACAGACUCUAAGUAAAGGAUUUCUGGAAUUCCACAGAUUCUGGUAAAGAGCUCUUCUUGGGGCCUUGGCAGUUGGAUGACAGCAUCCUAGGAGGCUCGCACGGGGCCGAGCUCACCAGCCCCUUGGAUAAUCGGGUAGGGGCCAG